rnacentral:lncRNA from 1 species
CAGACGUGAGCCACUGUGCCUGGUUCUGGAGCCUCUCUCUCUCUCUCUCUUUCAUUGCUCUUCUCUUUGUGUCUCUCUCACUCUCAUUUUCUCCCUGUCUCUCCUAUCCUCUGUCUCACUUUUUCUCUUGGUUUCUGUCUCAUUUUCUCUUUCUCUUUUGCCUCGAUUUUCUCUGCCUCUCUCAUGCUCCUACUUUCUCUCUCCUUGUCUCCCGUCCCCAACCC